UACGUAGGGGGCGAGCGUUGUCCGGAGUUACUGGGCGUAAAGGGCAUGCAGGCGGUCGGACGCGUUUCGGGUGACAGCGGGUGGCUUAACUACCCGAGUGGUCGAAAGACGGUUUGACUUGAGGACGCGAGAGGGACACGGAAUUCCGGGUGGAGUGGUGAAAUGCGUAGAGAUCCGGAGGAACACCGAAGGCGAAGGCAGUGUCCUGGCGCGUAACUGACGCUGAGGUGCGAAAGCCAGGGGAGCGAAUGGG
rnacentral:rRNA from 1 species